ensembl:lncRNA
GAAAAUUGUGAAAAAACCCCCCGAACCAUUAAGCAGUUUGUCUACUAUUUUUAUACGAUUACAAAAUGGCAGGAAAAAAGGUCCUUCCCCCUCCCCCUUUUUGGUGAUGUGAUUAUACAUGAGACAGGCACAAGGUUAACAAAGGAGGGUGAUGGGAGUGAUGGAAACCACAGCGAGGACCAGACGAUGUUCCACAGGCAAGGGGAGCAUGGCAGACGAAGAGUCUAAUUGACACUGACAAGAACUGGAGGUGAAGGAAACAUGAUUACGUGAACCAGUCAGUGAAAACAAAAUUAUACAGGGAAGAUGGCUGCUCACUUCCCAAACCCCCUAGGGAGAGGAGACAAAGAUUAAGUAGUCCUAAACUUAACUUUAUAGACCAGGACAGGUGGUAAAUACCUUCAGAGUGGAAGGACCAAUGUGUGCACGGCAGAGGACAGACAGGAUAGGGGAGGAGAGGGCAGGAUGGGGGGAAACCUGAGCAGCCACAGCCAGGUUACUGUAGUUAAGGAGUCAAGACAGAGAUGACCAAAUGCAGAUAAAACUGAAAAGUCUGUAAGAUACUGGAGACAAGGGGAAGCCAUUCUGCCAGCUGAGAACUCAAGUGAGAGCAGCUGGCAGUUACAGCAAAGAGGCUCUGGUGAGUGCACCAGCCCAGAAAACUAGGUGGACUCAGCCAGGAAGGAAGGCUACAGCUCAGCCGAGCCACAGAUGGGAGGGGAGGGUUGAGAGCCCACAGCACCCUUGCUCUGUUCCACCCUAACAUAAGGCCAUGCUGAAUGGUAGCUUUCCAUCCCCUCUGCCCAUCUGGCUUUUCCACCCUGCCCUUAGGUGUGAGGGAGAGGGGUGAUCAUCUAACAUUGCUAAGUCCAGUGAUUCAACAGUGCAGAGGAUGUGCCAGGACCAGGCCACAAAGGUCUUGUCCUGAACAUCUGUCUGCCAACUGGAGGAAGUGCUCAGGUGUGUGACAAGAAAACACAGAAACAAAAACAAAACAAAAAUGAAAACAAGGAAAAAAAAAUACCAAAGGAAGAUCUAAAUUCCUUAAAUUCACUAAAAACUGUGAAAAUUUCCGGCACAUGAUGUUUGAAUAUCAAACGCAGAGAUUUCUGAAGCUUUAAUGCCAAGUUAGUGAGUCUGUUUAGAUUCUCAUCUCCUGCUCAUCUGUGAGUUGGGCGUUGAGCUGUGACCGUUGCUGCCAGAUUCCGACUCUUGAGGGGGACAAUGGGAGGGGAGGUUGGUGCCACUUCUGUCUCUCGGCCAGUCUUGCUGCCUGAGGUACGCCGAGUGCAGCGGGCUGCCCGUUCCUGUGCAUCCAGCUGGUCCUCACACUCUGCCUGGGGGCUAUACGGCAGGGGAAAAGUCCGUCGCUCCCAUGGCUGGACAGACUGUGGACAGACAAAGAGCUCUGGUGAGGACCCAUUCCCAGACUACUUUUUUCCAUGAAAUUGAGACUGGAGUCCUUGAUCAGUCCAACUAGGGUUCAUGGAGUGGUCCAGGAAGACCCCUGUAGGGGUUGGGGUGGGUGUGCUUUUAAUAAUGGCCAGUACAGUUCCACUGUACCUCAAAAAAAGGAAAAGUUUUAUUUUUUUGGAGUGCUGGGGAUUGAUUUCAGGGGACUGUACAUGCUAGGUAAGUGCUCUGCUACUGAGAUACAUCCCCAUUCUUUUUCAUUUUUUGAAGCAGGGUCUGAGUUGCCCAGGCUGGCCUGAAAUGCAUGUUCCUCCUGCUUCAGCCUCUCUGGUAUCUGAGAUUACAGGCAUGUGCCUGCACACCUGGCCCAUCUUACCUUCAAAUAAUCAAUUUCAAGUGUAGCCCUCCAUCCCCUCAAAAUGAGAAAGUAUCAUGAAGAUCUAUCUUCAGCAGGUGCUAUCCUUUGCCAAUUCUGCCCCCAUCUCAUCAACUCCCAUGCAAAGAUGGUAUCCUUUACCUGUUCAUCCAAACCCAGCUCUGGUGUGGAACAGCGGGUGUCUUCACUGGCUAAGUGUCUCAGGGUGUCCCGAGCCACAGGGGUGAGGGGUGCCGAGUGUAAUUCCGGGCUAAUGGGGCUCCUAGGGGACUGACAAUGGGAGAACUCAGACAGAGAGUGGCUACUACUGACAUCAGGGGAGGCGGGCUGUGGGGUGGAGGGGUUGGCACUGCCCAGCUGGGGGGUGGUCCGGCCGUCUGAUGAUCUGUAAGACCUGUACACCAAGGAAGAUAGAUGUCAGUACCUGAGUAAUAGGGAAUUUGUCUGUUUGGGGGGGAUUGGAGGUGAGGAGGAGGCAUGAAAAAGGCAUCCUUACCAAGGAGCUGAGACUGACACCUAUAGUGUUUUCCUGUGAGCCAGCAAAUCUCACUUCUUUCACUGCUGCCCAAAGGGGCAGGUUUACAAUAUGAUGUCUAAGAACUGUGUGUGCUAUCAUCCUAAGAGAAAGCCAUGGCUGAACAAUGACCUUCAAAGC